AAUUCCUUAUUACUCUUUUUUUUUUUUUUUUUUUUUUUUUUUUUUUCCCCUGUUGGCCCAACACAAGCAGCAAAAGUAACAUGUCUGAACCUGUUUCCUUGUCUGUUCUGGUGGUUACCCACUUUCUUCUCCUCCAGUUCAGGGAAAGUGGAGAAAAAAAGUUUGCCUUUGCCCAGCAGCACUGCAGGUGUCUGUCCCUCUGAAAGAGUCCCAGCGGUGUGGGUGUGCUGGAAAGAAAAAUCCCCAGUGACUUCACCCAGUUUGGCUUGUGGUGGUUACUCACAAUGAGGUUCUUGCCCUGAUUUCUCUCCAGCCUUUCCACUGUUAUUACAGCUCUGGUAUCCUAUAGCAAGUAAGAACAUAACAUUACAACUGUUCACACGUGGGAGAUUGAGGAACUGCAUUGAGAGCCCAUCAGAUAGGAAAGUGCUUUUUCUGUAGGAAGAAGCAAUACAACAUUUUGCCUUAGAACAAUCUCAUUGGUCCUUCCUGGAUACUGGUUUGUGGGAAGCACUGAUGAAUGCUCCCUGCUGUGAGAGGAGGACUUUCCCAUCAGAGAGAAUGACCAUGCCCUUCCACCUGUGUGUCUGAGAUUCCACAAAGAGGCCUCCUAAGAUAAGCAUGCUGGGCUACCUAUACCCUGGAGAGAUGUGAUUAUUUCAGAGAAUGCUCUUGGUUUUCCUGAAACAAAGGGUUUCUUUUGUUCCAUGACUCCUUCCUUCCCUCACAUGCUGCUUAUCUGGGUGAAGAAUCAUGGCUGGAAUUUAUAAAUGCUUCUCUGUUGUGCAAAGGAGCUUUGAUAGCAUGAAAUGAAUAACAGGACAAUGACUUCUGUCUGAACAGGUUGGCCCUGUAGGGACAGGUUUCAAGUGGCAACAUGUGGAAUACAGGCCUGAAGGAGAUGCUCAGCCCCCAGCAUUAAAGGAUUCUGGUUUUUUCUUGACUUUGUUUGAAAGAAGUUUGUCCAAAUGGUUGAAGAGCAGUCCCAGAAGCUCCUUCAGAGGUUUCAGAUGGUUUAUUUUUGAAGAGCACUUUCUCACUCGCUUUGACAUGAGACAUGCAAAGAAACAGUCAAUACUGUUUUACUUACAUGACAUGUUUCUGUAACUGGAGAAGUGAAAGGUUUGAAAUGAAGGCUGUUGCUGAAUCUGGAGAAGACGCAGCCCUAGGCUUAGCACAAGAUAAAUUUGGUUCUGCUUUUUAAACACUGACCUCAGGAGAAGCUCUGCAGCAUGAAAAGGUUAUUAUGGGACUGGACACCUUGAGUCCCUUGGGUGUUUUUCUUCUUCAGAGAUGGAAGUCUGUUUCAAUAUGUCACAGUACAUUUUGAAGGCACUGUCACAUGGAGAAAAAACCUGAUAAUCUACUUCACAGCCAGGCAAGAGCACGCAUCUAUCAACAGUAUCUUGAAUACUCUCCCUUUAUGAACAUCAGACUGUUAGCUCAUGUUAGAUACUUCUGUAAAAUGGAUCAUCAGGGAUGAAACACUUGGAGCAGUGGCUUGUGAAGGGGAACAGCCCUUUGCAGCCCUGUAUGAGGAGGUGAUGUACUGCAGCACGUAGAGGCCACUGCUCCUCAUCCUGCCUCAUCAUUUCUGCCCAAAGGUGUGCAUAGAGUGUGCCAGCAUUUUGCACAAGGAGAGACAAGACAAAAUGUGAGUUCCUUGCAGAAGCCAGGCAAGAGAGGCUCUGACUGAGGUCUGAAUAGCAUAUUGUGUAAUUGCAUGUUACUCGUUAUGACCCUGUGUUUAUUGCUUGGUUCACUCCUACAGCUCUCAGACCAUUGCGCUGACUUCCAGGAAACUUAAAAAAUAUUGUUUCCCAAAAGCUGAAGUUAAGUGAUUGUCAUAGAAAAAAUAGCUGUUGUUUAUGGUCUUGUCAAAUUAAGUUCAACUUCAGUAACCAUGACAUGAAAUCUGUACCGGACAGUCUCACCAGGGAAUAAAAAGGCUUAUUCAGCCUAGUCAUAUACAAAUAUCAGUAAUAUAAAAUUCUGACAAUUGUAAGAGAAUUGCAUUCACAGCUUUGCACUUUCAGCUUGAUGAAAGGUGAUAAAACAUCAGCAUGUAUAUAGUUCCAUUUUGUCAUUUGCUUGUGGAGUACUUCCUGCUCACACUAAAAUUAAAAUUUAAAAGACUUUCACUUUUGAGGAAAAGAGCAUUAUUGAAGAGAAAUUCUCUCUGGCAAAUUAAUAGAUAAGGUCUGCCAUGCUAACUCAAAAAAGCAAGCUAAAGGUAAAAAUUGAAUCUCUUUAUCACAGUUGAGUCAUUUUUCUAAACUGGGGAAGUAAUAUGGGAUGGAAUAUAUAGGACAGAUUCUCUUACAGAAAGUGCUUUUAAACUUUAAAAGAUCCAUAACUAAUAUUGGGAAUGCUUAUAAAUGACAGUCUUCUCUUUUAGAUUAUGUUGCAUUUAUUACAUUCUACCAGGACUUUAUGGCGACUCUCAAGGAAUUAAUGUUAUAUUUAUGAUAAAAAUACGGAGCUGCUUCUAAAUAGCAUUUUCAUCAUAUUAACUGUUGCCUAGAUAACAGGCAUAUCUCCUCGAGCACCUCUAUUCUGGUUUAGCACUACAGCUUGCAAAUUAAUACAGUGAUUAUAAGACAGCAAAGCUAUAUCACUUACCAUUUCAUUAUUGUUCAAGUCAAAAUCCGUAUUUUUUCAGUUUUCCCUAGGGUUACAAACUGGAUAGGGAAAUGUUAUCAUCUUGCAGAAUAAUCUCUCAAGACUCACUCUCUUUGGUGUUAAGAGGAGCCGUUAAUCAUAUUACAAUAAUUUUCAUAUUAAUAGGUCCUGUGUAAAGACAGAGUUAAUGCUCUCCUUCUACAGUCAAACCUCCAACACAGUUUUUUUAUAUACAUAUAUGUGUGUAUAUAUAUAUGUAUAUAUAUAUAUAUUUAAAUCUGCUUGGAACUAGAUUAGCACAAAAGAUAUCACGUCCUACUCACUGUAUGAAUCAGGGUCAAAUCAACAGCAAACCCUUAAAUUUUUAAUCAAAAUGGCAAUCUGUCAUCCCUAAGAGAGUUAAAUAACGUUUAAGUGAAUAACAUGAAUAUGUUUUAGUGGAAAAUGCAUGGGAGAACUUACUGCAGCACACAGAAAACAUUCCAUGGAAUAUCUAGAAGAUAAUUUCGUCCUUGCAUGAGAUGCUGUGAUGCUAGCAUGCAUAUCCACUCUAAAUUAAAAAUCAUUUUCAGACGUGAAUUUUGUUUUCUGAGGAACCAGUACACGCUUUUAUUUUUGUGAUCUCAGAUACUGUAGUUUUCUGAAAGCUUCUCAUAUAGUGUUGUACAUUUAAUAAUGUAAUGUUACUUAAACUCAAGGCAUUUUCUGAUAUUUUUCCUUUUUUCCAAUCUGCUGACCUGAGUAAUGCAAUCUGCUCAGAAGAAGUUCAGUGUGAAUUUAAGAAGCUGUCCAAGGGGUCAGGUGUUUGCCUAAUUUUGAGCAGCCUGAAUGUGAAACAAAGGUGGGUCAGGUCUGCAGGGACUUGGGGGUGACCCAGCUCUACUCCUGCUCUGCUCCUGUGCUCCCUGGCUCGCUGGGAAGACUCUCUGUGUGGGAGCCCAGGCACUGAGCUGGAGUCGCGGAUAAUGAGCCCCAUGGAGAGCAGAAUGGAGACUGGAGCACGAUGCUGACUUAAUGUGGCAGUUUGGCUCCUGAAGCUGGUCAGCUUAGCCCAGGAAGGAGCCCGCUGCCUCUUCCUCGGCGGUGUGGGAAGAUGCUCCCUUGGUAAACCUUCACUUGCUGUCAGCAUCCGCUCUCCUUUUGCUAAGCCCUUUUACCGUAAUGAUGCCAUCUCUCUCAAUGUCCUUUAUUAUUCUCCUCUCUGUCAUUCCCAGGGGGUCUGAUUAAAAUCAGUGUAAAGCUCUCUUGGAUUUUACUGGCUUUCGUACUCUCCCUCUGCUCCUUAAUUUGCCUUUUUUUGCUGUUUUUAACUGCUUUCUGUUUAGGCUCAGUUCUGCUGUGUUCUAAACACCCCUCAUCUUUCCCCACUUUGGUGUUUUUGUAUUUUAUUCCUAUUCCUGACCUGCUCGACAACUGUUAAAUUACUUAGGCAGUGAGUAAAACGCAGAUUAAAGAAGUGCUUUCAGCUUUGAGCUAAAAUGUGUUGACAGGUCUCACAAGAGGCCUAGAGGAGACAUGGGAGAGUGGCAUCAUUUUGGGAGAAGAAAAACUAGAAAAAUGACUCUCAUCAGAUCUGAGGCCUUACCGCGAUUCUGUGGCAGCACUCCUGGCUGCCUUAAUGAGGUCAUGAAUCCACUAGCAGUGUGUAGAAACAGUUUUAAUUGGUGAUAAUUUUAACACUUGUUUAACAAAAUUUAAGGCAGCUGGAAUGGGGUUCUAUCUGUGCUAUACUGGUGUAAAUCAAAAGUAAUGUUAUUCAAACUUAUGUUCUUCUAGAAUAGCAGCACUUUAACAGAAAUCAGAUUCUAAAGCACUCCUGAAUUUCAGAUAUUAUACUGUAUUUCCAUUUAUAACCUGACAUAAUUCCCACACAGCAUAUGGUAUUAAUCUGGUGUAAACACCAUGUUAUGAUGAUACUCAAACACAUACAGCUGACAUGAAAAUGUCUUCAAGUACAAUAUUUCCAAAAGCAAUUAUGUCUAUAUGGUUGGUAGUUAGUUAGCUUGUGUGAAGUUUUAUUUCUUAUUCAUACAUAUAUUAAGGUUCACAGGAUGAAACAUGUAUAAAAAAGGAGAUAUUUUCAUUGUUUACAAAAAAAAAAAAGGGAAAAAUUCAGUAGCCUACUUAUUUUGGCCUGUUGGGCUUUUGUAAGGAAAUCUCACCUUCACGUGAACACAGGAUUUUUACAGUUUGCAUUAAAGGGUAGAUAUAUAGAUGAGUGCAAGGAAUACAAUGACACAAAUUGAAACUGAUGAUAUUUUUGCUAGAGAAAAUGGACUCCAAAAUAAUUAUUUAGGGAAAUUUUGCAACUCUCAGAGAAGGCAAUACUCUUGAUGUGUGAAUGCCUGAGACAUAAUCUCUGUUGGUAACAAAGCAUUUUUCAAUGUUGUCUGAUGAGAGGGGUGGGAGACCAGCACCCUUUGUCCAGGCAGAUGCAUAUGUGAAAUCUUUAAAAAAAUUGCCUAAGAUUGGAGUUGAGCCAAUCAUUUUUGUUGAAAUGAGAUCAAGAAAAGCAUGUCUUCUGGAAAGUAAAUGCUUAUGGAUGGUAAUAUUUUUGCUUGAACACUUGCCAGUAGGGCCUGAUUUACAGGUAGUGUAACUCUUCUAGUGCCAUCUCACCCUUUUGAGAUUAAAUUAUUUAUUAGGAUGAAGUGUAGCUUUUUCACAGAUUGUUUCUAGCUCUCUACCUGGUACCUAGAGUUUCAAAAUUUUUAGCCUUUCCUAGCCCCUUUUCUUCUUCCUGAGGAUACUUUCUUAAAUAGAUUCCUAAGACAAAGAAAAUAAGGCAACCUCAGUAUCACAUUCUUGUAACAGAAAGGAACUGCAAGAAACUGCUUAACAACCAGCUCUGCACUCGUUAGCUUUAGUAUAAAUCUGCAAUGACUUUAUUUUUAUUACUUCAUACUGGCACUACAGUGAAUAACAGUAGGUUAGACUGUUGAUGGCAUUGUAAAAUGAGCAUUUCCAUCUCAUGCCUAUUAUCCAAAACAAUAUCUUAGUUUUAAAAGAGACAGAUAAAAAAUUUGUAAUGGGACAAGAAUAAAUCUGGAAUAACUCCGCUGAAAAUUUGCACCCGUGUGACCAGGAAUUGAAUUUAGCCCACUUUGCUGAAUCCCUUUUAAUGGUUUCUGCACAUUCAAGCAUCCACCAGAGAUUAGAUGGAGGCAGCAGACCCGCCGCUAUCUGCGAUGCAGGCAGGACAGCCGGGGUGAAAGGGUAACGCAUUAUCACACUGCGCCACCUGGCCCAUCCAACACAAUUUGAGCAACUAUAAUUGUAUUGAUUACUUCUUGUGCUCAUGACUAAUGACCUCUAGCUGCAACCUUGCAUUUUCUAAAUCUUUUAUAUUCUGAUUUAAUAAUAAGAUUUGAUUAAAAAUUGCCAUUAGCCAAUGCCAAUGAUUAGUCAGCAAGACUCAAUGCUGCCAAGUUCCAAUGAGUUUCAUUAUUCUGGAAUUAAAAAGCACAGAGAACUUCUCUGGGUUAAUAAUACAAUGAUUCUGUCUCAAUCAGGAAUGAAAGAAAACAGCUCUAAUAUACAAAUGCAGCAAAAUGUGUGGCUAUUACUAAUAGCCACAUUUUACAGAGAAGUAUUUGAAGAAUUAAAGGGACUUUGUCACAGAUGGCAGGGACAGUUUGCUUUUGCUUUUUAUAUUUGAUUGGAAAGCCAAUGUCAGAUGGUGUGUGAGGGGGCAUUUUCCUAAGGAAAGACAUUUCCUUUGGUGCAACAAGAAUGUGGGGCUUAUUCAAUUUCUCCAUGAGAAUCCCCGCCUCAACAAAACAAGGCAAAGUGUAUGUUGGCAAAAAUGGAUAGUGAUGGUUUUAGAAAAUGAUAAGAGGUUUGUCUAGGUUAUUUACCUGCUGAGAAUAUAUUUCACUAUGUAUUUUUUUUUCAUUAAAGAAAAUGACUUAUUAAUUAAA